GACAGAGGGUGCAAACGUUGUUCGGAAUUACUGGGCGUAAAGCGCGUGUAGGCGGCCCUGCAAGUCGGAUGUGAAAUCCCACGGCUCAACCGUGGAAGUGCAUUCGAAACUGCAGGGCUAGAGUCCUGGAGAGGAAGGUGGAAUGCUUGGUGUAGAGGUGAAAUUCGUAGAUAUCAAGCGGAACACCGGUGGCGAAGGCGGCCUUCUGGACAGUGACUGACGCUGAGACGCGAAAGCGUGGGGAGCA
rnacentral:rRNA from 1 species